rnacentral:rRNA from 1 species
GACGAACGCUGGCGGCGUGCUUAACACAUGCAAGUCGAACGGAAAGGCCUCAGCUUGCUGGGGUACUCGAGUGGCGAACGGGUGAGUAACACGUGGGUGAUCUGCCUUGCACUCUGGGAUAAGCUUGGGAAACUGGGUCUAAUACCGGAUAUGAACUGCCCUUAGUGUGGUGGUUGGAAAGUUUUUUCGGUGCAAGAUGAGCUCGCGGCCUAUCAGCUUGUUGGUGGGGUAAUGGCCUACCAAGGCGUCGACGGGUAGCCGGCCUGAGAGGGUGUACGGCCACAUUGGGACUGAGAUACGGCCCAGACCCCUACGGGAGGCAGCAGUGGGGAAUAUUGCACAAUGGGCGGAAGCCUGAUGCAGCGACGCCGCGUGGGGGAGGACGGCCUUCGGGUUGUAAACUCCUUUCGACAGGGACGAAGCUUUUUGUGACGGUACCUGUAGAAGAAGCACCGGCUAACUACGUG